rnacentral:rRNA from 1 species
CAAUAGCCACGGUAAUACGGAGGGUGCAAGCGUUAUCCGGAUUUAUUGGGUUUAAAGGGUCCGUAGGCGGAUCUGUAAGUCAGUGGUGAAAUCUCACAGCUUAACUGUGAAACUGCCAUUGAUACUGCAGGUCUUGAGUAAAUUUGAAGUGGCUGGAAUAAGUAGUGUAGCGGUGAAAUGCAUAGAUAUUACUUAGAACACCAAUUGCGAAGGCAGGUCACUAAGAUUUAACUGACGCUGAUGGACGAAAGCGUGGGGAGCGAACAGGAUUAGAUACCCCGGUAGUCCCUGUCUCUUAUAU